rnacentral:rRNA from 1 species
GUAGUCCACGCCCUAAACGAUGUCGACUAGUUGUCGGGUCCUUGCGGACUCGGUAACGCAGCUAACGCGUGAAGUCGACCGCCUGGGGAGUACGGUCGCAAGAUUAAAACUCAAAGGAAUUGACGGGGACCCGCACAAGCGGUGGAUGAUGUGGAUUAAUUCGAUGCAACGCGAAAAACCUUACCUACCCUUGACAUGGCAGGAACGGGGCAGAGAUGUCCCGGUGCCCGAAAGGGAACCUGCGCACAGGUGCUGCAUGGCUGUCGUCAGCUCGUGUCGUGAGAUGUUGGGUUAAGUCCCGCAACGAGCGCAACCCUUGUCACUAGUUGCUACGAAAGGGCACUCUAGUGAGACUGCCGGUGACAAACCGGA